GAUGAACGCUAGCUACAGGCUUAACACAUGCAAGUCGAGGGGAAACGGCAUUGAGUGCUUGCACUCUUUGGACGUCGACCGGCGCACGGGUGAGUAACGCGUAUCCAACCUUCCCAUUACUGUGGGAUAACCUGCCGAAAGGCAGACUAAUACCGCAUAGUCUUCGAUGACGGCAUCAGAUUUGAAGUAAAGAUUUAUCGGUGAUGGAUGGGGAUGCGUCUGAUUAGCUUGUUGGCGGGGUAACGGCCCACCAAGGCGACGAUCAGUAGGGGUUCUGAGAGGAAGGUCCCCCACAUUGGAACUGAGACACGGUCCAAACUCCUACGGGAGGCAGCAGUGAGGAAUAUUGGUCAAUGGGCGGAAGUCUGAACCAGCCAAGUAGCGUGCAGGAUGACGGCCCUAUGGGUUGUAAACUGCUUUUGUAUGGGGAUAAAGUUAGGGACGUGUCCCUAUUUGCAGGUACCAUACGAAUAAGGACCGGCUAAUUCCGUG
rnacentral:rRNA from 1 species